rnacentral:lncRNA from 1 species
GCAGAGAGAAGUCCCAUCAAAUGCCACAGUUGGAAGAGAGGGAGUGGCCCCUCAUGGGCCCUCCUGGGGUGGCUCCAAGUCCUUCUCAAUGCCACAGGCUGUGGGAUUCCAUGUCACUGCACUGAGACCCGAAGAGACAAGUCGAAGGCCAUGUCUCUGCCUGACCUUAAGGGUGAGUCAAAAUCUGAAUCAUGCUUUUCCACCAAAGUCUACCGACGGGGCUCUGCCCACAGAGGGGGAGUAAAGGGGUCUGAGGCCGGGAUUCUAGACUUCCAUUGUCUGUGAAUCCCAAGUGUCUUUCUUGAAAAUGGUGGUAGGAACCACAGCUAGACAGGAGCCAUUGGGAAAUAGAGCAGAAGGGGCAAUGCCCAGUGUGUGUAAAUGUGUCUCAACUGCAAUUUUAAAUCUCUCUCUCUCUCUUUUUUUGCAGUGCUGGGUUUGGAAACCAGGGCCUCGCACAUGGAUAGGCAAAUGCUGUACCACGGUGCUGCACGCCCGGCCCUAAACUGCAAAUUCUUGGGGAUGGGUUAAAAUCCUUUCCACCACUAAUUUUUGACAGCCCCAAAUGUCUCAGCUGCCCAGACCUGGUGUCAGGACCCGGGGUCCCCUCCUGUCCAUCAAAGGGCAAGGCAAGGGCAGUCUAGGUCAACUCCUAGGUGAACCUAUUUUUCUAAGCUAUGCCCUCAAUAACGGACACCACCCACUGGCCCUUCCGGCCUGGGCCUGUGUAGCGGUGGGGUCUGAUGGGGACGGCAAUUAACCGGCUGCUUGCCUUCUCUGUCACCCAUGUGUCUCAUGCAAAUUUUUGAUAUUUUGUUCAGAAUGAGUUGUUUGCAUUAAUCUGAAUUUUUAAAAACAUUACACUAAAAUGUAACUUAUCGAGAUCACUCGGGGUUUCGCUCCCCCUCACCUCACCCGGGUCCCCCAUACUUGGGGUUUUGCAGCUGGGGGGGGGGCACAAGAGCAGCAGGUUCUGCUGCGACCAAAAUGCACUGCGGGAGAGGACGGUGGCCACAGCCCCGUUUUGCUGCCCCUGGCCCCCGCGCCCGUCCGCGGCGCGGUCUAGCGCAGGCGAAGGCCCAAGUCCCGAGUAAAAAUAAACGCGGGCUAUAAAUAGGCCUGUAAAAGUCUUCAAGGCACCCGCGCGACAGGAAGGAGGUGCCACCGCACAAGUGCUCAC